rnacentral:tRNA from 1 species
UUUAUUUUAUCUUAAAAUAAAGAAUUUGUUUUGAAAACAAAAAAUUUAUAUUAAAUUAUAUUUAUAAAU